UGGGGAAUUUUGCACAAUGGGGGAAACCCUGAUGCAGCGACGCCGCGUGAUUUAGAAGGCCUUCGGGUUGUAAAAAUCUUUUCUAUGGGAAGAAAAUGACAGUACCAUAGGAAUAAGGACCGGCUAAUUACGUGCCAGCAGCCGCGGUAAUACGUAAGGUCCGAGCGUUGUCCGGAAUCAUUGGGCGUAAAGGGUACGUAGGCGGGUAAGCAAGUUAGAAGUGAAAUCCUAUAGCUCAACUAUAGUAAGCUUUUAAAACUGCUCAUCUUGAGGUAUGGAAGGGAGAGUGGAAUUCCUAGUGUAGCGGUGAAAUGCGCUGAUAUUAGAGGGAGUACCGGUGGCGAAGGCGACUUUCUGGCCAUAACCUGACGCUGAGGUACGAAAGCGUGGGUAGCAAACAGG
rnacentral:rRNA from 1 species